rnacentral:tmRNA from 1 species
GGGGCUGAUUCUGGAUUCGACGGGAUUUGCGAAACCCAAGGUGCAUGCCGAGGGGCGGUUGGCCUCGUAAAAAGCCGCAAAAAAAUAGUCGCAAACGACGAAACCUACGCUUUAGCAGCUUAAUAGCCUGCUUAGAGCCCUCUCUCCCUAGCCUCCGCUCUUAGGACGGGGAUCAAGAGAGGUCAAACCCAAAAGAGAUCGCGUGGAUGCCCUGCCUGGGGUUGAAGCGUUAAAACGAAUCAGGCUAGUCUGGUAGUGGCGUGUCCGUCCGCAGGUGCCAGGCGAAUGUAAAGACUGACUAAGCAUGUAGUACCGAGGAUGUAGGAAUUUCGGACGCGGGUUCAACUCCCGCCAGCUCCACCA